AAAGUUGACUAGACAGUCGCUGCUUCGCUUUUAUCAAAUAGCGUAGGAGAGGAAAGUCCGGGCUCCAUAGGGCAAGGUGCCAGGUAACACCUGGGGAGUGUAAGCUCACGACAAGUGCAACAGAAAGCAAACCGCCAAUAACCAAUUUUUUGGGAUAAGGUAAGGGUGAAAAGGUGUGGUAAAAGCGCACCACGUAGCUGGUAACAGUGUACGGUAUGGUAAACUCCACCUGGAGCAAGGCCAAAAAGAGGUUAAAAGUGUAGCCCGCAUUUAAACCAGGGUAGGCUGCUGGAACUAGUAUGUGAGUACUAGUCUAGAUAAAUGACUGUCCAAGACAGAACCCGGCUUAACGGUCAACUUCACUC
rnacentral:RNase_P_RNA from 2 species